UACGAAGGGUGCAAGCGUUGCUCGGAAUCAUUGGGCGUAAAGCGCGUGUAGGCGGUCCGGUAAGUCCGCUGUGAAAGUCGGGGGCUCAACCCUCGAAAGCCGGUGGAAACUGUCGGGCUAGAGUACGGAAGAGGCGAGUGGAAUUCCUGGUGUAGCGGUGAAAUGCGCAGAUAUCAGGAGGAACACCAAUUGCGAAGGCAGCUCGCUGGGACGUUACUGACGCUGAGGAGCGAAAGCGUGGGGAGCGAACAGG
rnacentral:rRNA from 1 species